AUUGAACGCUGGCGGCAUGCCUUACACAUGCAAGUCGAACGGCAGCACGGGUGCUUGCACCUGGUGGCGAGUGGCGAACGGGUGAGUAAUACAUCGGAACGUACCUUAUCGUGGGGGAUAACGCAGCGAAAGCUGUGCUAAUACCGCAUACGCCCUGCGGGGGAAAGCGGGGGAUCGCAAGACCUCGCGCGAUUAGAGCGGCCGAUGCCUGAUUAGCUUGUUGGUGGGGUAAAAGCCCACCAAGGCGACGAUCAGUAGCUGGUCUGAGAGGACGUUCAGCCACACGGGGAGUGAGACACGGCCCAGACUCCUACGGGAGGCAGCAGUGGGGAAUUUUGGACAAUGGGGGCAACCCUGAUCCAGCAAUGCCUCGUGAGUGAAGAAGGCCUUCGGGUUGUAAAGCUCUUUUGUCAGGGAAGAAACAGCAGCUCUAACACAGUCUGCGAAUGACGGUACCUGAAGAAUAAGCACCGGCUAACUACGUGCCAGCCGCCGCUGUAA
rnacentral:rRNA from 1 species